GUUACUUUGGCAGAUUAGUGCAAUUGAUUUAGAAUCUUUAAAUGUAAUGUUUUACAGGUAAUA
rnacentral:tRNA from 1 species